UGAGGAAUAUUGGUCAAUGGGCGAGAGCCUGAACCAGCCAAGUAGCGUGCAGGAUGACGGCCCUAUGGGUUGUAAACUGCUUUUAUGUGGGGAUAAAGUGCGUGACGUGUCAUGCAUUGCCGGUACCACAUGAAUAAGGACCGGCUAAUUCUGUGCCAGCAGCCGCGGUAAUACGGAAGGUCCGGGCGUUAUCCGGAUUUAUUGGGUUUAAAGGGAGCGUAGGCUGUCUAUUAAGCGUGUUGUGAAAUUUACCGGCUCAACCGGUGGCUUGCAGCGCGAACGGGUCGACUUGAGUAUGCAGGAAGGAGGCGGAAUUCAUGGUGUAGCGGUGAAAUGCUUAGAUAUCAUGACGAACUCCGAUUGCGCAGGCAGCUUACUGUAGCAUAACUGACGCUGAUGCUCGAAAGUGCGGGUAUCAAACAGG
rnacentral:rRNA from 1 species